AUGAGAAAUUCCAUUGCUGACUAUUGGUGGGGCAUUGAGGAUGGCCGAAAAAAGAUGCACUGGCGUAGUUGGGAAUGGCUAUCCACUCAAAAAUCACUUGGCGGCAUGAGAUUCCGUGAUUUUGUGCUCUUUAAUCAAGCAAUGCUAGGGAAGCAGAGCUGGCGCUUACUGACUGAACCGUCGUCGUUGUGCGGUAAGGUCCUUAAGGGCAUAUACUUCCCGAACUAUGAUUUUAUGGAUGCAACUUGUCCCAGGGUAGUGUCCUUUACCUGGUGCAACAUUUUGUUUGGAAGGGAGCUGGUUUCGAAAGGCUUGAGUUGGGUGGUGGGUACAAGAAACAAAAUUAAGUUGUUGGAUCAUAAUUGGAUUCAAGGCCACCCAGCGGAGUCUUUUCAUACUCUAGUCCCUAUCCCAGAGGGAGUGACAGUGGAUUUCCUCCUUAGUGUUGGUCGAAAAGCUUGGGACGAGGAUGUCGUCCGAAGUGUUUUUCCUGAGAGGAUGGCCAAUGUAGUGUUACAAAUUCCACUAAGUGUGCAUGUGGUGGAUGAUUUGUUACCUGGCCUCAUGAUCGAUUUGGAUCCUACUCAGUCAGAUCGGCAUGUAACUUGCCCAAGUCUGAGAAAUUUCAUGCUACUCUUAACUCUUAUGGCCAUGGUGUGCAAUCAGACUUUGGUGCUGAACAGAAAAGCUGGCAAGCUCUUUGGAAGGUCAAUGCUCCAGGAAAGAUGA
rnacentral:rRNA from 1 species